UACAGAGACGGCAAGCGUUGUUCGGAUUUACUGGGCGUAAAGGGUCCGCAGGUGGCCAAGCAAGUCUGAUGUGAAAUCCCGCAGCUUAACUGCGGAACUGCAUCGGAAACUACUCGGCUGGAGGUUGGUAGAGGAGUCUGGAAUUCUUGGUGUAGCGGUGAAAUGCGUAGAUAUCAAGAGGAACACCGGUGGCGAAGGCGAGACUCUGGACCAUACCUGACACUCAUGGACGAAAGCGUGGGGAGCAAACGGG
rnacentral:rRNA from 1 species